CCGUAGCCUGGUAGCGGGGGAUAACUAUUGGAAACGAUAGCUAAUACCGCAUAAGAGUAGAUGUUGCAUGACAUUUGCUUAAAAGGUGCAAUUGCAUCACUACCAGAUGGACCUGCGUUGUAUUAGCUAGUUGGUGGGGUAACGGCUCACCAAGGCGACGAUACAUAGCCGACCUGAGAGGGUGAUCGGCCACACUGGGACUGAGACACGGCCCAG
rnacentral:rRNA from 1 species